UACGGGGGGGGCAAGCGUUGUUCGGAAUUACUGGGCGGAAAGGGCUCGUAGGUGGCCAACUAAGUCAGACGUGAAAUCCCUCAGCUUAACUGGGGAACUGCGUCUGAUACUGGAUGGCUUGAGUUCGGGAGAGGGAUGCGGAAUUCCAGGUGUAGCGGUGAAAUGCGUAGAUAUCUGGAGGAACACCGGUGGCGAAGGCGGCAUCCUGGACCGACACUGACACUGAGGAGCGAAAGCCAGGGGAGCAAACGGG
rnacentral:rRNA from 1 species